AUUUUUAGGUCUCUUGGAGAAAUUUUUUAAUAACUUAAGACUUACAAUAACCUGACUGUUUAAGUGAAGUUUGUAAUCCAAUUUUCUGUGUCUAUAUUAAGGGGCAUAAUGAUUCCAAAAUGACCAACUAGUUUGCAAUCUUAGGUGAUAAGAAGGUUAAAGACACACCUUGUGGUGAGGCUUAUUAGGUAGGACAAAGGUAACAUCAU
rnacentral:lncRNA from 1 species